rnacentral:rRNA from 1 species
UCUGGUUGAUCCCGCCGGAGGUCACUGCUAUUGGGAUUCGACUAAGCCAUGCGAGUCGUGAGGGUUCGGCCCUCGGCAGACGGCUCCAGUAACACGUAGAUAAUUUGCCCUUAGGUGGAGGAUACCCUCGGGAAACUGAGAAAUAAUACUCCAUAGAUCUAAACUGCUGGAAUGCUUUUAGAUUGAAAGAUUUAUCGCCUAAGGAUAAGUCUGCGGACUAUCAGGUUGUAGUUAGGGUAAAUACCUGACUAGCCUACGACGGAUACGGGUAGUGAGAGCUUUAGCCCGGAGAUGAUAUCUGAGACACGAUAUCAGGCCCUACGGGGCGCAGCAGGCGCGAAAACUUCGCACUGUGCGAAAGCACGACGAGGGAAUCCCAAGUGCUGGCUCGUAAGAGUCAGCUGUUUCUCUGUCUAAAAAACAGGGAGAGUAAGAGCUGGGUAAGACGGGUGCCAGCCGCCGCGGUAAUACCUGCAGCUCAAGUGGUGGCCGCUAUUAUUGGGCCUAAAACGUCCGUAGCCGGUUUCAUAAAUGCCUGGGUAAAUCAUACGGCUUAACCGUAUGAAUUCCGGGUAGACUGUUUAACUUGAGACCGGGAGAGGCUAGAGGUACUCCUGGGGUAGAGGUGAAAUUCUGUAAUCCUAGGGGGACCACCAGUGGCGAAGGCGUCUAGCUAGAACGGGUCUGACGGUGAGGGACGAAGCCCUGGGGAGCAAACGGGAUUAGAUACCCCGGUAGUCCAGGGUGUAAACGCUGCUCGCUUGAUGUUAGUCGGGCUCCGAGCCCAACUAGUGUCGGAGAGAAGUUGUUAAGCGAGCUGCCUGGGGAGUACGGUCGCAAGACUGAAGCUUAAAGGAAUUGGCGGGGGAGCAC